rnacentral:rRNA from 1 species
RGCGUCCCAGUGUAAAUGCCCUCGGUGACUUACUAAGACCCGAGGAGCAGGCAUCAGGCACACCCACCAGUCGUAGCCCAAAACGCCUUGCUCAGCCACACCCCCACGGUACUCAGCAGUAAUUAACAUUAAGCAAUGAGUGUAAACUUGACUUAGUUAUGGCAACAUUUAGGGUUGGUCAAUCUUGUGCCAGCCACCGCGGUCAUACAAGAAACCCAAAUUAACUGUAAUACGGCGUAAAGCGUGACACUAUGUUAUCACCCCAACUAGGAUUAAAAUACAACUGAGCUGUCGCAAGCCCACGAUGCACCUAAAACCGACCUGAAAACGAUCCUAGCCCUAAUGAUCAAUUAACCGUCACGAAAGCUAGGGCACAAACUGGGAUUAGAUACCCCACUAUGCCUAGCCCUAAAUCCUGAUACUUUCCCCACUAAAGUAUUCGCCCGAGAACUACGAGCACAAACGCUUAAAACUCUAAGGACUUGGCGGUGCCCCAAACCCACCUAGAGGAGCCUGUUCUAUAAUCGAUAACCCACGAUACACCCAACCACCCCUUGCCAAGGCAGCCUACAUACCGCCGUCGCCAGUCCACCUCCCCUGAGAGAGCAACAGUGAACACAAUAGCCCCACCCGCUAACAAGACAGGUCAAGGUAUAGCCCAUGGAGUGGGAGAAAUGGGCUACAUUUUCUAUGAUAGAAAACCACGAAAAGCGGUGUGAAACCACCUCUGGAAGGCGGAUUUAGCAGUAAAGAAGGACAAUAGAGCCACCUUUAAACCGGCCCUGGGGCACGUACACACCGCCCGUCACCCUCCUCAAAAAGCU